rnacentral:rRNA from 1 species
GACGAACGCUGGCGGCGUGCUUAACACAUGCAAGUCGAGCGAUGAAUUUUCUUCGGAAAUGGAUUAGCGGCGAACGGGUGAGGAACACGUGAAGAAUCUGCCCUCCACUUUGGGAUAACACAGGGAAACCUGUGCUAAUACCGAAUGUUGAAACAUAAGUGGCAUCAAUGAGUUUUGAAAGAAUUGCGGUGGAGGAUGACUUCGCGGCCUAUCAGCUAGUUGGUGAGGUAAUGGCUCACCAAGGCAACGACGGGUAGCCGGCCUGAGAGGGCGACCGGCCACAAUGGGACUGAGACACGGCCCAGACUCCUACGGGAGGCAGCAGUGGGGAAUAUUGGGCAAUGGAGGAAACUCUGACCCAGCGACGCCGCGUGCGGGAUGAAGGCCUUCGGGUUGUAAACCGCUUUCAGUAGGGAAGAAGCGAAAGUGACGGUACCUACAAAAGAAGCACCGGCUAACUAUGUGCCAGCAGCCGCCGUAA